AAUAGAUACCCCGGUAGUCCAUGCUGUAAACGAUGAGAACUAGAUGUUAGGGGGCAUGACCUCUUAGUAUCGAAGCUAACGCGAUAAGUUCUCCGCCUGGGGAGUACGGCCGCAAGGUUAAAACUCAAAGAAAUUGACGGGGGCCCGCACAAGCGGUGGAGCAUGUGGUUUAAUUCGAUGCAACGCGAAGAACCUUACCUACCUUUGAAUCCACGGAACCUAGCAGAGAUGUUGGGGUGCCUUCGGGAACCGUGAGACAGGUGCUGCAUGGCUGUCGUCAGCUCGUGUCGUGAGAUGUUGGGUUAAGUCCCGUAACGAGCGCAACCCUUGUCCUUAGUUGCCAUCAGGUUAUGCUGGGCACUUUAAGGAGACUGCCGGUGAUAAACCGGAGGAAGGUGGGGAUGACGUCAAGUCCUCAUGGCCCUUACAGGUAGGGCUACACACGUGCUACAAUGGGCAGUACAGAGGGAAGCCAACCCGCGAGGGGGAGCGAAUCUCAUAAAGCUGUUCGUAGUCCGGAUUGGAGUCUGCAACUCGACU
rnacentral:rRNA from 1 species